CAGUCGCCGCGGGAAUACGAAGGGUGCAAGCGUUAAUCGGAAUUACUGGGCGUAAAGCGUGCGUAGGCGGUUUGUUAAGUCUGCUGUGAAAUCCCCGGGCUCAACCUGGGAAUGGCAGUGGAUACUGGCAAGCUAGAGUGUGUCAGAGGAUGGUGGAAUUCCCGGUGUAGCGGUGAAAUGCGUAGAGAUCGGGAGGAACAUCAGUGGCGAAGGCGGCCAUCUGGGACAACACUGACGCUGAGGCACGAAAGCGUGGGGAGCAAACAGGAUUAGAUACCCCAGUAGUCCCUGUCUCUUAUAA
rnacentral:rRNA from 1 species